AGUGAUCGCUGGCGGAGUGCCUAAUACAUGCAAGUCGAAGGAAGUGGCGCACGGGUGAGUAAUAUAUAGCUAAUCUGCCCCUUGCUGGAGGACAACCGGUAGAAAUGACUGCUAAUACUCCAUAGGAAGGGAUGCGACUAUAUCGUAUCAGCUAGUCGGUGGGGUAACGGCCUACCGAGGCUAUGACGCGUAACUGGUCUGAGAGGAUGAUCAGGCACAUUGGAACUGAGACACGGUCCAAACUCCAACGGGAGGCAGCAGAAGGGAAUAGUGCGCAAGGGGGGAAACCCUGAAGCAGCAACGCCGCGUGGAGGAUGACAAUUGCCGGAGCGUAAACUCCUUUUGUUAGGGAAGCGGUACAUAACGAAUAAGCACCGGCUAACUCCGUGCCAGCAGCCGCGGUAAUUC
rnacentral:rRNA from 1 species